UCUUCAGCACCAUGCACAAGCCCUGGGCAGAUGUCAUCCCUUGCACCUAUGAGAUGAAGCACACCCUAAAGGAGCUGAUAAGGGUCAAGGCCUUCCUGCUGUCUGGGACCACUAUCAUCUCCUGGCCUGUGGUACCAACUCCUGUUGAGAGUCCCUUGCCUGCCAAGAAGGGGAAAGGCGACAAGAAAAAGAAAGAGGAGCCUGCUAAGGACAAAGGCCCGAGGAAGAAAAAGGAGCCACCCAGAGAGCUGCGCCAGGAUCCACCUGUGCUGAGGGUGCUGGGCAGCGGACAGGAUUCAAAGAAGGUAAAGAAAGGCUCCAAAAAAGAUAAGUCAAAAGCGGCGGCUCCAACCGUAGAAAGCGGGUACCAGCCAGAGCCCCUGUCGGUGGAGGUCCAGAUCCAGUUGCACCAGUACCGCUCGGUGGAGGAAGCGUUCCUUAGCUUGAUUGACUAGCAGGGAGAAUAAAGGCUGCUCUGCAGCCAGAGCCUGAG
rnacentral:lncRNA from 1 species